GGACCUAAACCUCCUCAUAUUUAUGCACUUACAACUGAUAUGAAUCACAAUAUGAUGAUAGAGAAAGAAAACCAAUGCGUCAUAAUAAGCGGUGAAAGUGGAGCUGGUAAGACUACAUCUGCACGGCACGUGAUAAAUUGUAUCAAUGAAGUUUCUGGCCGAGGAUCCGAAAGAAUAAAGCAAAUUAAGGAUAUUAUAACUCAGUCUAACGUUGUACUGGAAGCGUUCGGGAAUGCAAAAACAGUCAGGAACAACAACUCAAG